GACGAACGCUGGCGGCGUGCUUAACACAUGCAAGUCGAGCGGUAAGGCCCUUUCGGGGGUACACGAGCGGCGAACGGGUGAGUAAAACGUAGGGUGGACCUCGCCCUCCAGCUCUGGGAGUAAAGACCGUCGGGGAAACCGGGGUACCGUAAUAACCGGAUAUGACUCCAUGACGCAUGUUGUGGGGUGGAAAGCCUUGUGCGGCUGAGGAUGGGCCCGCGGCCUAUCAGCUUGUUGGUGGGGUGAGUGGCCACCAAGGCGACGACGGGUAGCCGGCCUGAGAGGGCGACCGGCCACACUGGGACUGAGACACGGCCCAGACUCCUACGGGAGGCAGCAGUGGGGAAUCUUGCGCAAUGGGCGAAAGCCUGACGCAGCGACGCCGCGUGAGGGAUGACGGCCUCGGUGUAA
rnacentral:rRNA from 1 species